AUGCGGUGUAAAUUUACAACCAAUAUAUACUCUUUCUCUCCACUCUCUCCUCUCGUU
rnacentral:sRNA from 1 species